rnacentral:rRNA from 1 species
GUCGGAAAUCACGCGUAGAGUAUAAAGGCAAAAGCGCGCUUAACUGCGAGACCCACAAGUCGAGCAGGUACGAAAGUAGGUCUUAGUGAUCCGGUGGUUCUGUAUGGAAGGGCCAUCGCUCAACGGAUAAAAGGUACUCUGGGGAUAACAGGCUGAUACCGCCCAAGAGUUCAUAUCGACGGCGGUGUUUGGCACCUCGAUGUCGGCUCAUCUCAUCCUGGGGCUGAAGCAGGUCCCAAGGGUAUGGCUGUUCGCCAUUUAAAGAGGUACGCGAGCUGGGUUUAGAACGUCGUGAGACAGUUCGGUCCCUAUCUACCGUGGGCGCUGGAAAUUUGAGAGGAUCUGCUCCUAGUACGAGAGGACCAGAGUGGACGAACCUCUGGUGUACCGGUUGUGACGCCAGUCGCAUCGCCGGGUAGCUAUGUUCGGAAGGGAUAACCGCUGAAAGCAUCUAAGCGGGAAGCCUACCUCAAGAUAAGAUUUCCCUAGGACUUUAUGUCCUCUAAAGAGCCGUUCGAGACUAGGACGUUGAUAGGUUGGAUGUGGAAGCAUAGUGAUAUGUGAAGCUGACCAAUACUAAUUGCUCGUGAGGCUUGACUAUACAACACCCAAGCAGUUG